rnacentral:lncRNA from 1 species
GUCUGUUUCAUAUUGGCUCAUGUUUUCAGGCUGAUGCAAGCCAUUCCUUCCAUACCCAGGUAGAGAAGUAGAUUUAGAAUACGGAAAUCGGGAGUACAUGGCAGUGGUGCCCUCCUGUGCUCUCUGGAAGUUUUCUCUGUCAGUUCCAGGAGUAAGAGACAGGGAUCGGGUAUCUGAAUCUGGGGAAUUAGUUCUGGUGUCCAUAUCCCCU